rnacentral:rRNA from 1 species
UACGACGGGGGCUAGCGUUGCUCGGAAUCACUGGGCGUAAAGGGUGCGUAGGCGGGUCUUUAAGUCCGGGGUGAAAUCCUGGAGCUCAACUCCAGAACUGCCUUUGAUACUGAGGAUCUUGAGUUCGGGAGAGGUGAGUGGAACUGCGAGUGUAGAGGUGAAAUUCGUAGAUAUUCGCAAGAACACCAGUGGCGAAGGCGGCUCACUGGCCCGAUACUGACGCUGAGGCACGAAAGCGUGGGGAGCAAACAGG